rnacentral:lncRNA from 1 species
GGGGGGCAAGUGAAUGUGUCCGAAAAAGCUGUCCUAAAGUUCCUCGUUUCUUCCAUCGUUGACUUUUCAUCUUUGUCUGUUUUUCAGGGAUUUUGAUUGCACAACAUUGAAAUAAAACUAUAAAAUGUCAACUCCUAAAUUGUUCAGCUGCUUUCUCUCGCCCAUUUCAUUCUCUCUGUAAUUUUGCUCGGAAAAUUGGGAUUAGAGCUGUCCGUUGCUCUGAAAUCAAUACGUUCAUCUCAGCCAUGAUUUCCACUGGCAAGAUCAAGUCCAUCGAUUUUUAUAGGUCAAAUUGCUCGCAUCAUUUCAUUGUUCAUCAGCUCUGUGUGUUUGUGUGUAAUUUGAAUCUGAUCAUGGAAAAUUCAGUUUGAUUUUGCGUAAUUGCUUUCUCAUGCAUGUGGAUUGUGGAUUGUGAAUUGUGAUGGAUAAGUGAAUGAAUGUUUGAGUUUAUCAAUGAAAUUGGAGUGAUUAUAAAUAGGAUUCAGAAUUUAAAUUAAUAUUAACAUUAUGUUUGGACGAUGGAAUUAAACUUGGAAUUUUGACAAAGGUCAGAGUUAUCAAUUGACAGGCAACAAUUCUCUUGUUUGGAUUCAUAAACAUAAAAAUUUAGAAUUUCCAUGUGGAAAAAAAAAACUUGCAAUUUAGGAACUCCAAUUUUCAAGUUUAAAUUCCAUGUAAAUAUGUAUCAUUUCUAAAUUUCUAUGAGUGAGAAUUUAAAAAUAAAAAAUUUCGUAUUGAACUUCCAUUGUACUUUUAAGUUUGCCAAACAAGAAAAUUCAUAAAUUCUAGAAGAUAAAAUUUCGUCAUUUUAAAAUUUCUUUGUAAGUUUAAAUUUUCUCGUCCAAACAAAUAGAAAAGAUUGGUGAUUUGAAUAGUUUGGUUGCUUCCACGCCAUUGAAAGAUUCAAUUCAUCACCACUAAAGCAUUACUAGAUUGUUUGGAGGUGCUUAGUGGAAGCUUUCAUAGCAAAUGAUUCUAGGGUUUUAGCUGCUUGCUGUAUGAUGUUUAUGGUACACAUCUAAGGAGCUAAAUUAUAUGCAAAAAUGUAAAAUUUCAUAUCUUCUCAAACUUUCCCUGCGAAUAGGAGUAGGAAGAAAAAUUUAACCAACACCACCUGGACUAUUAGAGCAACUCCACCAUUGCAAAGACCCCCUAGGGCAAGUC